UAACAACAGGAUGAUGCCCUAUCAACUGUUUAAAAGAUGGUUCUGCUAUCACUCUUGGGAUGGGACCCUGCGGUGCAUUUAGCUAGUUGGUAGGGUAACGGCCUACCAAGGCGAUGAUGCAUAGCCGAGUUGAGAGACUGAUCGGCCACAUUGGGACUGAGACACGGCCCAAACUCCUACGGGAGGCAGCAGUAGGGAAUCUUCCACAAUGGACGCAAGUCUGAUGGAGCAACGCCGCGUGAGUGAAGAAGGGCUUCGGCUCGUAAAGCUCUGUUGUUGGUGAAGAAGGACAGGGGUAGUAACUGACCUUUGUUUGACGGUAAUCAAUUAGAAAGUCACGGCUAACUACGUGCCAGCAGCCGCAGUAAU
rnacentral:rRNA from 1 species